UUAACUAUUAUAUAGUACUCAGACGACAUUAAUAUUCAGAGUUUGGGGUCCUCUGGCGAGCACGCACGAGCCGAAGCCCGUGGCCGUGAAGCGGCUCGCCAAAGCAACAAAGGUUUAAUAACAUAGGGUUGGAGAGUCACCCGUGAGGGCGAUGUUCUCUGUAAUGAUCCCUCCGCAGGUUCACCUACGGAGA
rnacentral:misc_RNA from 1 species